UGGCCUACGGGGGGCUGCAGUGGGGAAUAUUGGACAAUGGGCGAAAGCCUGAUCCAGCAAUGCCGCGUGAGUGAUGAAGGCCUUAGGGUUGUAAAGCUCUUUUACCCGGGAUGAUAAUGACAGUACCGGGAGAAUAAGCUCCGGCUAACUCCGUGCCAGCAGCCGCGGUAAUACGGAGGGAGCUAGCGUUGUUCGGAAUUACUGGGCGUAAAGCGCACGUAGGCGGCGACUCAAGUCAGAGGUGAAAGCCCGGGGCUCAACCCCGGAACUGCCUUUGAAACUAGGUCGCUAGAAUCUUGGAGAGGUCAGUGGAAUUCCGAGUGUAGAGGUGAAAUUCGUAGAUAUUCGGAAGAACACCAGUGGCGAAGGCGACUGACUGGACAAGUAUUGACGCUGAGGUGCGAAAGCGUGGGGAGCAAACAGGAUUAGAUACCCGGGUAGUCUC
rnacentral:rRNA from 1 species